GUGCUCACUUCAGCAGCACCUAUACUAAAAUUGGAACCACACAGAGAUUAGCACGGCCUCUGCUCAAGGACGACACAAAAAUUUGUGAAGUGUUCUGUAUUUUC
ensembl:snRNA U6 U6 spliceosomal RNA